CUCUCUCUCUCUGCCCCCCCCCCCGCUCCUUGCACCCUCUUUCUCAACUAACAUUUAAUUAAAAAAAAAAAAAAAACGAAGAUGAACUCUGUAAAAAGAUUCCUGAUGGAUUUAUUUCAUUUUACCCUGCUUGUUCGAAAAACUAGCAAUCGGGAGUUGGAGGAUGUGAGGCACGGCUCUCCGGUAGUUAACUGUGUGAUCCUGGGAAGGUCUCUGUACCUCAGUUUUCUCAUCUGCAAAAUGCAGGGCUUGGAUUAAAGAAGCUUACAGCUCUAACAUUCUGAGAUCCUGUAUUAACCACAGCAUAUGACUGACCAGAACAAUCUACUGAUCAAGUAUCAACCAAGUAUUUAAUGUACAUCGAGGAGCCAAGAGACAAUUAGAAACACAUAAUGCAAAUUUGGUUCAUGAAGCGUUGAUAAAGAAGAAGACGUGAAAAACAGCCAAGAGGACACAACUAAAAAUCAGCAAAAAGCUGACUUUAAGGACUUUAAGUAACGGACUUUAAGGAUUACACAGGCAUGUAGUUAAAGUGCAAAUGAGAGCAAAUGUUUGUUCUAUUCAUGCUUCGUGCUGUGAGGAGGAAAUGUGAAAAAUAAAAAUGACUCUUCUUGGCUA